GGGGAUGUUUUAAUUCGCUAACUCGCUUUUAAGUUAAAACGGCUAAGGGAAGUUGUCGGAACUUCCAAAAAUCCAGCUUAGCUGGAUAAAAACCGGCAACUUGGAUAAAUGCCAAGAACUUAUUGGCUAAAGUGAAGGGCUUUUUUGCCCCCAACUUGGCCUUUGCCGUAGCGUAAAAACCUAUAGCCAUCCAAACCAGCGACGCCUGAUAGCUGGUAAGGGUGUCAACCUUUCGGGCUAGCCAGUCAAGGGCACCCCUCUUUAACUGGCAAAACAAUUGGGGCUUAAGGUUGGUUAUUUUUGUUCUUUUCUAAUAAUCAGCCGGAUCAAACAAAAGGACUAUCUUAGUAGAUGUUUUAACUUUCAGCAGUUACACGUGGGUGCAAGACCCACCAUCUCCACCA
rnacentral:tmRNA from 1 species